ACGGCUCAGUAACACGUGGAUAACCUGCCCAAAAGUCCGGGAUAACCCCGGGAAACUGGGGAUAAUACCGGAUGGAUCACCCGUGCUGGAAUGCUCGGUGGUCGAAAGGUAACGCUUUUGGAUGGGUCUGCGGCGGAUUAGGUUGACGCCGGUGUAACGUACCGGCGUGCCUGUAAUCCGUACGGGUUGUGGGAGCAAGAGCCCGGAGAUGGAUUCUGAGACACGAAUCCAGGCCCUACGGGGCGCAGCAGGCGCGAAAACUCUACAAUGCAGGCAACUGCGAUAGGGGGACAUCGAGUGGCAUCCACCUUGGGUGCCUGUCCAGCCGUCUAAAAAACGGCUGUUAGCAAGGGCCGGGUAAGACCGGUGCCAGCCGCCGCGGUAAUACCGGCGGCUCGAGUGGUGGCCGAUAUUAUUGAGUCUAAAGGGUCCGUAGCCGGCUUUGCAAGUCCCCUGGGAAAUCCAGCGGCUUAACCGUUGGUCGUCCAUGGGAUACUACAUUGCUUGGGACUGGGAGAGGUAGGAGGUACUCGGGGGGUAGGGGUGAAAUCCUGUAAUCCUCCGGGGACCACCGGUGGCGAAGGCGUCCUACCAGAACAGGUCCGACGGUGAGGGACGAAAGCUAGGGGCACGAACCGGAUUAGAUACCCGGGUAGUCCUAGCCGUAAACGAUGCCCGCUAGGUGUCACGACGGUCGUGAAUCGUCGUGGUGCCGUAGGGAAGCCGCGAAGCGGGCCACUUGGGAAGUACGACCGCAAGGUUGAAACUUAAAGGAAUUGGCGGGGGAGCAC
rnacentral:rRNA from 1 species